ensembl:lincRNA
AUGGUGAUGUUCUCUGAUAUCCUUUCUUUUGCCACCAGGUCUGCCUUCUGGAUAUCAUUUCCUUAUCCAUCACGCCAGGUCACCGGUGUGUCUUGCCAUCCUUUGGUUGCAGGAUCCUUCUCUGGGGCAGGUGAGUCCUGCUGUCUCAGGAGCCUGGGGCCUGGCCUUCCGGCUGCCUGGACAGGACCCUCUGCUCACAGCAAACACCGUCUCUAUCCUCUGAGCUGGAAGACCAAGCACCAGCCAGGGCACUUGCAUUUCUGCUGCAGGACACGCAGAGAUGCACAGCCACAGAUAACCUAGCGCCACUCUCAAUUACAGUCUCCUUGAGAGAGGCUGAACUGCUCAGUGCCUGCCAAGAGAUGGUGACUCCAAGCUGUGGAUUUGGUCUGUGUCCCUCCGAGUGGGUUUGCAGAAUGUGUCUGAUUUUCUCCUUCAUGUUACCCGUCAAGGGCAGAAGGUUAUACAAUACUCUGUCAACACAGGCAGCCACCUGCUCCCUACUGCUGGGCCAGGGGCUGGGGGCAGUGGCGGGGUGUUAAGAGGAAUGUCAGCCUUGCAUGAACGCCUACUAUGUGCUGGGCCCUGUGCCAGGCACGGAACUGGCGCUGUUUCAGGGUUUCCCCAAGGUCAUGGCCAGAAUCACCUCAGCUCCAGCCCUGAGCCCCUGUGAACAUGUGGGGGUCGGCAGGAAGGAGACAGAGGGGAGCGGAGCAGAGGCAGCCAGAAGGAAGCAGGGAGAGGAGAGAAAAAAGAGGACGAGAGUGUAGGAUUCAAGGGCAAACUUCAUGGUCAGACGACCUUGAGAAUCACUUCUUUCUCUGACUAGGGUUCCUGUAAAAUAUAAACUGCAGGUGGUGCUUCUGAUGCUUCCCAGCUACCCUGGGGUUGGCAAAGGCUGAAGAGAGCCAGUGCUUCACAUAUUGCCCUGCUAGGUGGCCCCCUCCUGCUGAGCCACGGCCCACAGGGUCCACUGCAGGGGCUCCCAGACCUGCCCAUGCAAAGCCCAGACUUUCUUUCUCUUCUCUGCUUGUACCCAUGGGGGCUUUUUUGGUAUGGGGUAUUUUCGUAUUGGUUUUCCCCUUUAGAUCAGUGGUUCCCAACUGGGGCAGAAUUUGUAUCUCCCACUCCAAGGACAUUAAGCUAUGUGUUAAGAUGUAUUUCGUUGUCGCAUCUAGCGGUGCUCCUGGAAUCCAGUGGUAGAAGCCAGGGAGGCAGUUAGAUACCCAAAAUGCAUGGGAUGACCCCGUAUGAUAAUCACCUAGUUCAAAGUGUCACUGGAACCAGAACUGAGGAACUCUGGAGACAACAGUAUGACCAGGAUGUGCCAUACAGUUCCUGGCUUUGCCCACGAAAGAUCCUCCAGCAUCCAGCACCCAGCCCACCUUCACCUGGCCCAUAGCAGGCAGAGAACAAAUAAUGGUUCAAUGGCAGAACAGAAGUUCAGAGCAUGCUGAGUACUGUCAGGGCUCUGAUUGGGCAAGAAGUUGAUCUCUUGCCUGCCUUGAUAUUUCCUGAAAAGGGACCUGCCAAUCUCUCUGAGUCUAGCCUUUCUCUCUGUUCUCUGCCCAAACAGUGACUGCUUCCUGGAAACCUCUACAAGGUGGAAGAUGGCUGCAGAGUUCUCACCCUGGGCUUGGCCCACCUGGAGGAUGUGAGCGGGCUGUGCAGAAACACCCCGUCCAGGUUCCCUCCCUGGGCUGGGGCUGCUCAUUCUAUAGCUGAUGUCUGGAUAGACCUGUGGACCACCUUGAGGACACUAGACCAGAGUACACUGCCUCUUUCCCUGUCCCCUGAGCCAGUUUUCUACAAGCAGGAGAAAUGUGAUUACUUUUCUUGUGCCCUAAACUUGAGCCCCGUGUCUUAGAAGGAAUGCUCAAGAGAUGUCCACACAGCUGCUGAGAUUUUCCCAGGAUCCUUUCCUGCACAAAGGGAGCUCAGCUUUGGAACAUGAACACACUGCAGGACUCAGUGAAGAGUCUUAUCUCAUCCUUAAGCCAAAGCAGGAGGGGUUCUAGCCUAUCACUGUCCUGGUGUGGCUUGAGGCUGACGGCUGCUUGGCAGGGCCAGAGUCCCCAAAAGUACAGUCUGUGCGGGAAAAGGAUGAAUGAGAGAUCACUGCUGUGGUUUGAAUGUGUCCCCUCCAAAAUUCAUGGGUUGGGACCUGAAUCCCACAUGCAUGAUAGGAUGGGAGGUCGGGCCUUUGGGGAAAUGUGUAGGUUGCGAGGCUCUACUUGUUAAUGCCACCAUGAAAGACAGGAGUUGCCAGGAGGAGUUCACCCCCUUUUUUGUUCUCCUUUGUGCCACAUAAAGACAGUGUUCUUUUCCCGUGGAGGACCGGGAUUCAAGGCACCAUCUUGGAAGAAAAAGCAGCCCUCAUGAGACACCAAACCUGCCAGCACCCUAACCUUGGGUUUCCCAGCCUCCAGAACAGUGAGAAAUAAAGUCCUUUACCCUGUCUCAGUGUUCUG